rnacentral:lncRNA from 1 species
GUGCUUCUGUUGUAGUGGUUGUGGGAUCUAAAGGUGUUGUAAUAGGAGCUGCAGUUGUGGUUGUCAUAGGGGCUACAGUUGUUGAAGCUGCAGUGGUUGUCGAAGUAGGUGCUUCAGUUGUAGUGGUCGUAGAGGCUACAGUUGUCAUUGUAGAAGUAGGUGCUGCUGUUGUAAUGGUCGUAGUAGGUGUUGUGGUUGUCGAUGGAGCUUCAGUUGUGGUUGUCGUAGGUGCUGCAGUUGUAGUGGUCAUAGGAGCUACACUUGCUGCUGUAGGUGUUGCAGUGGUUGUAGUAGGUGUUGUAGUUGUUGUAGGAGCUGCAGUUGUCAUUGUAGUAGUAAGUGCUGCUGUUGUAAUGGUCGUAGUAGGUGUUGUGGUUGUCGAUGGAGUUGUGGUUGUCGAUGGAGCUUCAAUUGUCGUUGUAGGUGCUUCUGUUGUGGUCAUAGGAUAUACAGUUGUUGUAAUAGGAGCUGCAGUUGUCGUUGUCGUAGGAGCUGCAUUUGUAGUUGUCGUAGAAGGUGCUUCAGUUAUAGAAGUCGUAGGAGCUACAGUUGUUGUAGUAGAAGCUGCAGUGGUUGUCGAAUUAGGUGCUGCAGUUGUAGUGGUCCUAGGAGCUACAGUUGUUGUUGUUGUUGUAGUAGGUGUUGUAGUUGUUGUAGGAGCUACAGUUGUCAUUGUGGUAGUAGAAUAUGUAGUUGUCGUAGAAGCUACAGUUGUUGUUGUAGGUACUGCUGUUGUGGUUGUUGUAGGAGCUUCAGUUGUCCUUGUAGGUGCUUCCGUUGUUGUGGUCGUAGGAUCUAAAAUUGUUGUAGUAGGAACUGCAGUUAUGGUUGUCGUAGGAGGUUCAGUUGUCGUUGUAGGUGCUUCCGUUGUUGUGGUCGUAGGAUCUAAAUUGUUGUAGUAGGAACUGCAGUUGUGGUUGUCAUAGGAACUGCAUUUGUAGUUGUCGUAGCAGCUGCAUUAGUUGUUGUCGUAGUAGGUGCUUCAGUUGUAGAAGUCGCAGAAGCUACAGAUGUUGUCGAAGGAGCUACAGUUGUUCUUGCAUGUGCUGCAGUUGCAGUGGUUGUAGUAGGUAAUGCAUUUGUAGUUGUCGUAAUAGGUGCUGCAAGUGUAGUUGUCGUAGUAGGUGCUGCUGGUGUAGUGGUUGUAGGAGCUGCAGUGGUUGUUGAAGUAGGUGUUGCAGUUGUAGUGGUCAUAGGAGCUACAGUUGUUGUUGUAGGAGCUUCAAUUGUAGUUGUAGCAGGUGCUGCAGUGGUUGUCGAAGUAGGUGCUGCAGUUGUAGGAGCUACGGUUGUCG